UACCAAUCAUAUUGUGCCUAGUUGCUG
rnacentral:piRNA from 1 species